rnacentral:rRNA from 1 species
UACGUAGGGUGCAAGCGUUGUCCGGAAUUAUUGGGCGUAAAGAGCUCGUAGGCGGUCUGUCGCGUCUGGUGUGAAAACUCAGGGCUUAACCCUGAGCUUGCAUCGGGUACGGGCAGACUAGAGUGCGGUAGGGGAGACUGGAAUUCCUGGUGUAGCGGUGAAAUGCGCAGAUAUCAGGAGGAACACCGGUGGCGAAGGCGGGUCUCUGGGCCGUAACUGACGCUGAGGAGCGAUAGCGUGGGGAGCGAACAGG